AUUGAACGCUGGCGGCAGGCCUAACACAUGCAAGUCGAGCGGAGCGGCGGACGGGUGAGUAAUGCCUAGGAAUCUGCCUGGUAGUGGGGGAUAACGUCCGGAAACGGGCGCUAAUACCGCAUACUAUCAGAUGAGCCUAGGUCGGAUUAGCUAGUGGGUGGGGUAAAGGCCUACCAAGGCGACGAUCCGUACCUGGUCUGAGAGGAUGAUCAGUCAAACUGGAACUGAGACACGGUCCAGACUCCUACGGGAGGCAGCAGUGGGGAAUAUUGGACAAUGGGCGAAAGCCUGAUGCAGCCAUGCCGCGUGUAUGAAGAAGGCCUUCGGGUUGUAAAGUACUUUCAGCGGGGAGGCGUUACCCGCAGAAGAAGCACCGGCUAACUCCGUGCCAGCAGCCGCGGUAAUAC
rnacentral:rRNA from 1 species